GAUGAGGCAUGCAAGUCGAACGGAUAUUGUAGCUUGCUACAAUAUUAGUGGCGGAAGGGUUAGUAAUACAUGGGUAACUUACCUUUAACUUGGGAAUAACGAUUGGAAACGAUCGCUAAUACCGAAUGUGGUGAACUUUGGCAUCAAGGUUUCAUUAAAGUGGGGGAUCGCAAGACCUCGCGGUUAAAGAGAGGCCCAUGGGAUAUCAGCUAGUUGGUG
rnacentral:rRNA from 1 species